AGGAUGAACGCUGGCGGCGUGCUUAACACAUGCAAGUCGAACGAUGAAGCCGGGAGCUUGCUCCUGGUGGAUUAGUGGCGAACGGGUGAGUAACACGUGAGUAACCUGCCCCAGACUCUGGGAUAAGCACUGGAAACGGUGUCUAAUACCGGAUACGAGCUUCAGCCGCAUGGCUAGGAGCUGGAAAGAAUUUCGGUCUGGGAUGGACUCGCGGCCUAUCAGGUAGUUGGUGAGGUAAAGGCUCACCAAGCCGACGACGGGUAGCCGGCCUGAGAGGGUGACCGGCCACACUGGGACUGAGACACGGCCCAGACUCCUACGGGAGGCAGCAGUGGGAAUAUUGCACAAUGGGCGAAAGCCUGAUGCAGCAACGCCGCGUGAGGGACGAAGGCCUUCGGGUUAGUAAACCGUCGUUUUUAAGUAGGUAACGAAGACGAAAGUGAACGGUUACCUAGGACAAGAAAAAGCGAACCGGACUAAACGUACGUAGACCAGCACGACCGAC
rnacentral:rRNA from 1 species